rnacentral:pre_miRNA from 1 species
AGGGGAAUAGCUGGGUUGAAUGGUGGUUCCAUUCCCAGCUUUCCAAAGAAUCUCCAUAUUGCUUUCCAAAUUGGCCACACCAAUUUGCAGUCCCACCAGCAAU